UACCUAUAUCUAUGUCUAUAUCUAUACUACUAUUAUAAAGAGGUAAAGUUUGUAAGUUUGUUUGUAGGAAGUAAUCUCUGGAACUACUGAACCGAAUUUAACAAUUCUUUUACCAGUACAAAGCUACAGUAUUCCUGAGCGACGUAUUAGGCUAUAUUUUAUUUU